GGGGUUGUAGCUCAGUGGUAGAGUACUUGCCUUGCAUGCAUGAGGCACUGACUGUGUUUGAUCCUCAGCACCA
rnacentral:tRNA from 1 species